rnacentral:rRNA from 1 species
UACGGAGGAUGCAAGCGUUAUCCGGAAUGAUUGGGCGUAAAGCGUCCGCAGGUGGCAAUGUAAGUCUGCUGUUAAAGAGUCUAGCUCAACUAGAUAAAAGCAGUGGAAACUACAUAGCUAGAGUACGUUCGGGGCAGAGGGAAUUCCUGGUGUAGCGGCGAAAUGCGUAGAGAUCAGGAAGAACACCGGUGGCGAAGGCGCUCUGCUAGGCCGUAACUGACACUGAGGGACGAAAGCGUGGGGAGCAAACAGG